ensembl:lncRNA
GCUCAAAGGGGGCCUCGCCCGGGGAGUAAUUCGAUGUAGAACCGCCACUGCAUGUGUGCAGGAGUGAGAGCAAGGCAGCUAGUUCAUCGCCUCCUCUUGGGUUUAAGUAUUUGAUCAGGAAACGGGUAAAUUUCAGCAGUUUUGGCCAUAAACAUGUUGAAAUCAUACAUAAACCAGUCAGUGGACACACUUGAUUUCCUACUAUAGCAUUAUUGGUCUAAUUAGUCACGAUGACUGCCUUCCCUCCUCAGACCACACGUAACUGCAUGAAUGGAGAGAGUGAUGGUUAAAAAUGUAUAUAUAACUUAUAUAUGCCGUGUGUUACUCUAUCAGUUAGUGUGAUCGGCCAAAAAUGUUUGGGUAACAGACAAGAUACCAUUCAUAAGCUAGGUGUAUAUCCUGGCUCACAAAACCCACAUAGCCAUAACAUGUGCAGAAGUCACCACUGGCCUCUAGGAUGUGCUGUGAUCAAACCUCGAGGGAAAAAGGUGUAUUCAGGGAUGUGCCUGAAGUCACGUGCAUGUGACCAUCCCUGACUGUACAUACUGCUGCUUCUCAUUUGUAUUGCUGCUGCUCAACCAUCACACUACUGUCUAUCCAUGCUACUGUUCGACUUGUAUCUGUAAGUCUUCACCUGCUUGUUAAGCUAAUGUAAUGGUCACAUUGUCAGUAUGCAUGCUAAGCCACGCUGCAUUUGUUUACCUAUUUUAUCGCAUUGCUUAGCUUUGGCUGUCAGGCCAUGCUGCUGCUUCACACUGCCGUGAGCUUCUGCUCACUCAGCUUUGUAUGUCGCCGCAGGGCUCCUUCAUCCUUGUCAAUAAAGCCAUUAGACAUCGAGGAGUGUAUUUCUUCAUGAAGGAGCCAUGGUGGUCGUCAGAUGCUCUGUUCCAGCCUGCUCGUUCGCCACCGACGACGUGUCCGAGGCUCUCGCCGUGGCGCUGCUGGCAAACCAUGGCCUGGCCCAUCAGAGCCGGACCGAACCCGCUGCACCCGUGGCCUGCCUGGCCCUGCGCUGGAUCGACCGAGAGUGGAUGUCGGCAUGUCCAUCGAGGAAUGGAACGUUUUUACACGCCGCUGGGACCUGCAUGUCAACAAAAUGCCAGGUAAAGGCAAGAUUACAGACAUGCUUGUCCGCUCCACCAUCUUGCCAAAACGCAGUUCUUCCCAGCCAAUGAAAAGCCUCUUCUACACAGUCCCUAACAGGUGAAUCGCGUUAAUCCCUACUUUACAAGUAUAUAUAUACUGUAAACCAGUACACUGAAUUGGCAUGAGGUGCAUACUGUAUCUACAAAACUGCAGGACAUGGAAGGUCAGCCUUGUGGAAGUGGGGUAGAGGGGGAAAGGGGAGAACAGGUGAGCAUACUGUAAUGUAGUUAUUCAGCACAAACUUGCCCUAUGCUAUCAUAGUCAUACAGGAGACUUACAUUAGUACAUGACCUUACAGACUUUUAAAUAUAGACGUACUGUAACUGUCACUGUAACUCAGACUUGAUGUAGCAUAGUGUGCUGUGGUACAAUACAGUAGUACUGUAAAGAAAGGAGCAUUGAAUGACAGUGCUGUAACAAUUACCGUAAGCAUGUUUGAGCUUAUUUAUGUUUGUGUUUUUUUUAUAUGCACCUUAAAGGAUUGCCAGACAACCUAGAAGAGGUGGAAGAGGUCCCAUUUUGACUCUGCUGCAAGAGGAAGGAAUUUGUAGACUUUAGAGUCUGAUGCCACCGUUCUAAAGCCCUUUAGGACUCUGGAUGGUAAGGACUUGAGAAAAUAUGUUGUAUUUUUAGCUCCCUUAAUAUCUGUUUGAAAAGGUUAGACUUAAAGUUAGUACCUUGGUAGAAGAAGAAGAAGAAGUAGAAGAAGAAGAAGAAGUAGAAGAAGAAGUAGAAGAAGAAGAAGAAGAAGUAGAAGAAGAAGAAGAAAAUAUCAUUUCUAUAGCACCUCUCAAGAUAAAAAUCACGAGGCGCUUGGUCAGUCUGAACUAGCCUAAAAAGGCUAAAGGUGGAAAAGAAAUUUGUCAGGGCUUUUGUCACAGAGCUAGAGGUAAUCCUACAAAGUGGAAUAGCCUCAGGAUAACGUGUCGAUACGCACAUCAAAGUAA